UGGGUGUUACUAAAACGCGAAGCGAAACGGCGGAACGCGAAACUCCUAAAACGCGAAACAGUGGUGCGAAACGGUCCCAAAAAUUUUCGGGACCGUUUCGCAGUUUAGGCGCUAGAGGUCUUACUAAAAUGCGAAACCGUAGACGCGAAACAGUCGACGUCAGUAGCUCAGUGCAUUGUUAAAAGCAUGGUUAAAAGUUAACUACUUACUAACCUAACUAACUACCGAACUGGCUGUUGAUAUGUAUGUUGGCAGUUGAGUUUAAAUGUGUGUACACGGAACGCUCUGUCUCGGUUUGUCUCAUUGACAAAAGCAGCAGCAAAAAAUAAAAAAAGCAGAAAAGUUGAAAUUAUUCGAGAGAGAAAAAGAAAAACAAGUUCGUUUCAAAGAGACUAAGUAGUCACGAAGACGUCGUUAUCGUUCGUUUUUUUUGGCUUCUUCUUCUUUUUUACUCUUUUUUUCUCGUCGACUGAUGUUAAAAAAAAAGAAAAAGUAUUAAUAUGAUACUAAAAUGUCUACACGGUUGGUACUAUUAUACACAUCAUCCCACAGCUUCAAACCAAAAAUAUAAUAUUUCAACAGGUGUGGGUUAAUGAUGAUGAGCACCGGUCUCGUCAUAUCACGACCACCACUUCUUUUAUAAUUUAGCGUUAUAGACGACAAAAUAAAUCUAUUCCGAUCAAUUCUGAUUGCGAGUCAAACACAUAAAAAUGUCGUCCUUGGGAAUAUGAUUUCUUUUUCUAUCAAAUUAAAAAAGAAAAUAAUAAAAUAGAAGAUUUAUUUUUUGGGGUUAUUUUGUUUAAGAGCCUUUUUUUUCUAAACGCUCCGGAGCAUUCGAAUAAAAGAGCAUCCAUCAGCAAUGGCGAGACGUUGUGCAAGAGCUACUUCGGUUUGGCCACGCUCCAAGUGCUUCGACCGGCUUCGACAAAAGACGACGGGAAAUACACAGCCAUAUGGCCAGGAAUUGAUGCCCAAAUAGCUAUACCGGCCAGUUUAAUUUCAGAAACUAUAACCUAUUUAUGUCUGAGUCUGUAAUUAUUGACUUUGUACGAAAAUAUGUAUGAAUAAACCAACAGAACUUGUUACCAAGCCCAUCUUUGUUAUUCAAUUACUCUUUGAAUCUGUUCAAACUACAAUAAACGGUGGAAUUCAAGA